rnacentral:rRNA from 1 species
AGCGAACGCUGGCGGCAGGCCUAACACAUGCAAGUCGAGCGCCCAGCAAUGGGAGCGGCAGACGGGUGAGUAACGCGUGGGGAUGUGCCCAAUGGUGCGGAAUAACCCAGGGAAACUUGGAUUAAUACCGCAAGUGCCCUUCGGGGGAAAGAUUUAUCGCCAUUGGAUCAACCCGCGUCUGAUUAGCUAGUUGGUGAGGUAAAGGCUCACCAAGGCGACGAUCAGUAGCUGGUCUGAGAGGAUGAUCAGCCACACUGGGACUGAGACACGGCCCAGACUCCUACGGGAGGCAGCAGUGGGGAAUAUUGGACAAUGGGCGCAAGCCUGAUCCAGCCAUGCCGCGUGAGUGAUGAAGGCCUUAGGGUUGUAAAGCUCUUUCGCCGGUGAAGAUAAUGACGGUAACCGGAGAAGAAGCCCCGGCUAACUUCGUGCCAGCCGCCGCAGUAA